UGCCUAGAGAUGAGCUCGCGUCUGAUUAGCUAGUUGGUAGUGUAAGAGACUACCAAGGCGACGAUCAGUAGCUGGUCUGAGAGGAUGAUCAGCCACACUGGGACUGAGACACGGCCCAGACUCCUACGGGAGGCAGCAGUGGGGAAUUUUCCGCAAUGGGCGAAAGCCUGACGGAGCAAUACCGCGUGAGGGAGGAAGGCUCUUGGGUUGUAAACCUCUUUUCUCAGGGAAUAAGAAAGUGAAGGUACUUGAGGAAUAAGCAUCGGCUAACUCCGUGCCAGCAGCCGCGGUAAUACGGAGGAUGCAAGCGUUAUCCGGAAUGAUUGGGCGUAAAGCGUCCGCAGGUGGCAUUGUGUGUCUGCUGUUAAAGAGUGAGGCUUAACCUCAUAAAAGCAGUGGAAACUACAAAGCUAGAGUGCGUUCGGGGCAGAAAGGAAUUCCUGGGUGUAGCGGUGAAAUGCGUAUAGAUCAGAAGAACACCGGUGGCGAAAGCGUUCUGCUAGGCCGCAACUGACACUGAGGGACGAAAGCUAGGGGAGCGAAUGGGAUUAGAUACC
rnacentral:rRNA from 1 species